ACAGUCACUGACAUUAGAUACCCCUGUAGUCCAGGGUGUAAACGCUGCAGACUUGGUGUUGGAGGCCCUUUGGGGGCAUUCAGUGCCGGAGAGAAGUUGUUAAGUCUGCUACUUGGGGAGUACGUCCGCAAGGAUGAAACUUAAAGGAAUUGGCGGGGGAGCACCGCAACGGGAGGAGCGUGCGGUUUAAUUGGAUUCAACACCGUAAACUCACCAGGGAAGACUGUUACAUGAAGGCCGAGAUGAAGACUCUGCUAGAUUUUCAG
rnacentral:rRNA from 1 species